rnacentral:tRNA from 1 species
GGGUUUUUAUUAUAAGUUUUGUAUUGUUGGCUGUUGACUAAUAGGUUUUAAGGACCCU